GGAGGGUGCAAGCGUUAAUCGGAAUUACUGGGCGUAAAGAGCACGUAGGUGGAUGAAUAAGUUGGCUGUGAAAUCCCCGGGCUUAACCUGGGAGGGCCAGCCGAUACUGUUUGUCUAGAGUACAGUAGAGGGAAGUGGAAUUUCCGGUGUAGCGGUGAAAUGCGUAGAUAUCGGAAGGAACAUCAGUGGCGAAGGCGACUUUCUGGACUGAUACUGACACUGAGGUGCGAAAGCGUGGGUAGCGAACAGGGAUUAGAUACCCUGGUAGUCCACGCUGUAAACGAUGAGAACUAGCCCGUUGGGGAGUUAAUCUUUUUAGUGGCGCAGCAAACGCGAUAAGUUCUCCGCCUGGGGAGUACGGCCGCAAGGCUA
rnacentral:rRNA from 1 species